AACGAACGCUGGCGGCAUGCCUAACACAUGCAAGUCGAACGAGACCCCUGACUUCGGUUGGCGGGUCUAGUGGCGCACGGGUGCGUAACGCGUGGGAAUCUGCCCUUGGGUUCGGAAUAACUCAGAGAAAUUUGAGCUAAUACCGGAUGAUGACGAAAGUCCAAAGAUUUAUCGCCCAGGGAUGAGCCCGCGUAAGAUUAGCUUGUUGGUGGGGUAAUGGCCUACCAAGGCGACGAUCUUUAGCUGGUCUGAGAGGAUGAUCAGCCACACUGGGACUGAGACACGGCCCAGACUCCUACGGGAGGCAGCAGUAAGGAAUAUUGCUCAAUGGCCGAAAGGCUGAAGCAGCAACGCCGCGUGGAGGAUGAAAUACUUUUGUAUGUAAACUCCUGUAAGAAGGGAAAAUAUUCCGAUUUAUCGGGAUUGAUUGUACCUUCAGAGUAAGCCCCGGCUAACUACGUGCCAGCAGCCGCGGUAAGUGACGUCAGA
rnacentral:rRNA from 1 species